UACAGAGGGGGCAAGCGUUGUUCGGAAUUACUGGGCGUAAAGGGCGCGUAGGCGGCCUUCUAAGUCGAACGUGAAAUCCCCGGGCUCAACCCGGGAACUGCGUCCGAUACUGGAAGGCUUGAAUCCGGGAGAGGGAUGCGGAAUUCCAGGUGUAGCGGUGAAAUGCGUAGAUAUCAGAAGGAACAUCAGUGGCGAAAGCGGCUUCCUGGACCAGAACUGACGAUCAGGCACGAAAGCGUGGGGAGCAAACAGG
rnacentral:rRNA from 1 species